GAACGGGUGAGUAACACGUGGGCAACCUGCCCAAAAGAGGGGGAUAACACUUGGAAACAGGUGCUAAUACCGCAUAACCAUAGUUACCGCAUGGUAACUAUGUAAAAGGUGGCUAUGCUACCGCUUUUGGAUGGGCCCGCGGCGCAUUAGCUAGUUGGUGGGGUAAAGGCUUACCAAGGCAAUGAUGCGUAGCCGAACUGAGAGGUUGAUCGGCCACAUUGGGACUGAGACACGGCCCAAACUCCUACGGGAGGCAGCAGUAGGGAAUCUUCCACAAUGGGCGAAAGCCUGAUGGAGCAACGCCGCGUGGGUGAAGAAGGUCUUCGGAUCGUAAAACCCUGUUGUUAGAGAAGAAAGUGCGUGAGAGUAACUGUUCACGUUUCGACGGUAUCUAACCAGAAAGCCACGGCUAACUACGUGCCAGCAGCCGCGGUAAUACGUAGGUGGCAAGCGUUAUCCGGAUUUAUUGGGCGUAAAGGGAACGCAGGCGGUCUUUUAAGUCUGAUGUGAAAGCCUUCGGCUUAACCGGAGUAGUGCAUUGGAAACUGGGA
rnacentral:rRNA from 1 species